CUUGGUGAUGCAACGGUAGGAUCCGCUACUAAAAGUAAAAGGCAAAAAAAAAAAUUAUUGUAGUCCCUCUACCAGGAACGGGUUGCACAUACAUGUCCUUAAUCUGUAAUCUCUCACCCUGUUCUCUUGCCUUGUUUCCUCCUCGGAUGUUCAGGGCAGCGAGAGUGAACAGAUAAACAGGCCAGCAAGUUGGAAAGGAACCUGGCCGCUACCGUCCCUGCGUCAUGCCUGACCUCUCUCAGCCUGUCAGCCAUCGCCGUUGUUGUAGCAGUGAGGGAUAGAGGAAGAUGAGACUUACGGAGUAUAUGAGAGUGACCGGAUAAGAAUGGGAGAGGAUCGGCAACCAGUGGCGGAGGAAGGAUUAAAACUAAGGUAUGGCGAAGUUUGUAAUAUAGAUAUGAAUGGUAACAAUGUUUGCUGAAUUCGGUUUACGAAAGCGUGGAAAACACAAAUGCCAAAAAUUUGUAUCAAAAUUAAUAGUGUCCGG
rnacentral:lncRNA from 1 species